GGGAUAAAGAUGGCGACGGGAAGCCUGGGUACCAGGAUGUAGCCGGAGCUGUGGAUAGAACAGACGGAAGUGGGAGCACUGAUGAGAAUAAGUGCUCAGAAUCAGGCUGCAGGAUUGUUUACGUCGUGGGAGACAGAAAGAGUGUGCCCUCUGCCCUUCUAACCAGACAGUUGCCAUUUUGAUCUGCCAGUCAAACGCCAGUGUUUGCCCUGAACGUGGAGACAAUCGAUCAUAGUUUGGACAUUUGGGCCAAUGUUAAUUUUAGUCACCGAAGCUGGGCUCUGGUGGAGGAGUGAUUGGCAAGGCACUUGUCCAAGUCUCAGUGAGGUUACCAGUGUCCUUAUGGCUAACAACUGCACAAAUAGAGACAGGCUGCGUUUGUGAACAUAGUUCCGACAAAUUAUUUGAAGUACGAGUCUACCUCCUCUCUGUAUUUAUUAUCCCAGCUCUUGGCAUAACAAGAAUGAAAACCUCUGCUUGUGCAAAGCCUUUCCCAGUAAAGAUCUGUGGUGGCUUCACUCGCCCACGUGUGUGAUAGCAACUGACCACAAACCUAGCCUAUGACACCACCUAAAGAAGAGCUCCCAACCCUGCCCAGCAUGAGGUGUACUCGAAGGGCAAAUGUCCUUGGUUAUUUCUCUCUUUCCUUAAUUUUUUUAAUAUGGCAAGAUUGAAUGAAGCUCUAUCCAAAUACAUUAAUAAAUACAUGAAGUGAGAGAGA